GACGAACGCUGGCGGCGUGCCUAAUACAUGCAAGUAGAACAGUUGCGAACGGGUGAGUAACGCGCAGGUAACUGCCUCAAAGCGGGGGAUAACUAUGGGAAACGAUAGCUAAUACCGCAUACUGUGAGAUGGACCUGCGUUGGAUUAGCUAGUUGGGUAGGUAAAGGCUCACCAAGGAGACGAUACAUAGCCGACCUGGGAGGGGUAUCGGCACCACUGGGACUGGGACACGGCCCAGACUCCCACGGGAGGCAGCCGUAGGGAAUUCUCGGCCAUGGACGGAAGUCUGACCGAGCAACGCCGCGGUAGUGAAGAAGGUUUUCGGGUCGUAAAGCUCUGUUGUUAGAGAAGCGGUACCUAACCAGAAAGCGACGGCUAACUACGUGCCAGCAGCCGCGGUAAUAC
rnacentral:rRNA from 1 species